rnacentral:rRNA from 1 species
UACGUAGGGUGCAAGCGUUGUCCGGAAUUAUUGGGCGUAAAGAGCUCGUAGGCGGCUCGUCGCGUCGGCUGUGAAAACCUGGGGCUCAACCCCGGGCCUGCAUCCGAUACGGGCGAGCUAGAAUUCGGUAGGGGAGACUGGAAUUCCUGGUGUAGCGGUGAAAUGCGCAGAUAUCAGGAGGAACACCGGUGGCGAAGGCGGGUCUCUGGGCCGAUAUUGACGCUGAGGAGCGAAAGCGUGGGGAGCGAACAGG